UACGAAGGGUGCAAGCGUUACUCGGAAUUACUGGGCGUAAAGGGUGCGUAGGUGGUUUGUUAAGUCUGCUGUGAAAUCCCCGGGCUCAACCUGGGAAUGGCAGUGGAUACUGGCAAGCUAGAGUGCGGUAGAGGGUAGUGGAAUUCCCGGUGUAGCAGUGAAAUGCGUAGAGAUCGGGAGGAACACCAGUGGCGAAGGCGGCUACCUGGACCAGCACUGACACUGAAGCACGAAAGCGUGGGGAGCGAACAGG
rnacentral:rRNA from 1 species